rnacentral:rRNA from 1 species
AUAGCGUAUAUUAAAGUUGUUGCAGUUAAAAAGCUCGUAGUUGAACUUCGAAUGUGGCCGGGCGGUCCGCCUCAUCGGUGUGCACUGUCUGGCCGUGUUCUCUUUCUUGGUGAGCCGGUAUGUCCUUUACUGGAUGUGUCGGGGAACCAGGACGUUUACCUUGAGAAAAUUAGAGUGUUCAAAGCAGGCCUAUGCCUGGAUACAUUAGCAUGGCAUAAUAAAAUAGGACGUGCGGUUCUAUUUUGUUGGUUUCUAGAGUCGCCGUAAUGAUUAAUAGGGAUAGUCGGGGGCAUCAGUAUUCAAUUGUCAGAGGUGAAAUUCUUGGAUUUAUUGAAGACUAACUACUG